rnacentral:tRNA from 20 species
UAGCUCAGUUGGUAGAGCAGUUGACUUUUAAUCAAUUGGUCGCAGGUUCGAAUCCUG